AUUGAACGCUGGCGGAAUGCUUUACACAUGCAAGUCGAGCGGCAGCGCGGGGGCAACCCUGGCGGCGAGCGGCGAACGGGUGAGUAACAUAUCGGAACGUACCCAGUCGUGGGGGAUAACUAUCCGAAAGGAUAGCUAAUACCGCAUACGUCCUGAGGGAGAAAGCGGGGGAUCGCAAGACCUCGCGCGAUUGGAGCGGCCGAUAUCGGAUUAGCUAGUUGGUGGGGUAAAGGCUCACCAAGGCGACGAUCCGUAGCGGGUCUGAGAGGACGACCCGCCACACUGGAACUGAGACACGGUCCAGACUCCUACGGGAGGCAGCAGUGGGGAAUUUUGGACAAUGGGCGCAAGCCUGAUCCAGCCAUGCCGCGUGAGUGAAGAAGGCC
rnacentral:rRNA from 1 species